UACGAAGGGGGCUAGCGUUGCUCGGAAUGACUGGGCGUAAAGGGCGCGUAGGCGGAUGGUACAGUCAGAUGUGAAAUUCCUGGGCUUAACCUGGGGGCUGCAUUUGAUACGUGUUGUCUAGAGUGAGGAAGAGGGUCGUGGAAUUCCCAGUGUAGAGGUGAAAUUCGUAGAUAUUGGGAAGAACACCGGUGGCGAAGGCGGCGACCUGGUCCUUGACUGACGCUGAGGCGCGAAAGCGUGGGGGAGCAAACAGG
rnacentral:rRNA from 1 species